GGCAAGAAUUUAAGAGUAUGAAAAAAGAACAAGGUGAGACUGCAGUUUUUGGUGAUCACUAUUCCCAGACUUCGAGGCCAGGGACCACAUACAAGAAUGCUCUACUUGGGUCAAGCUACACAAACCCAGCCAGUUCAGAAGUGAAGAAGAUGUUGUCACAGUUCAGAGAAGAAAAGAAAGGUUUUGGAUGCAACAGUGAUGGAGACUCAAGGAGCAGGAAGUGAACUUGUUAUAACUUGUGUAUCAUAAAGUAAGCCAAGACAGAAACUGAAGCAGGAACCACAGAGGAGCGCUCUUCACCGGCUUGUUCCUCCUGGCUUUCUCAGUCUGUUCUUAUAGGACCCACAACCACCAGCCCAGGGGUAGCACUGCCUCAUAGUAAGCUGAAUCCUCCCACGCCAAUCUUCAGUCAAGAAAAUGCUUGACAGGCUUGCCCACAGAGAGACUAUACUGAAGAGGGAAGACCCACUCUGAAAGCGGGUGACACUAUUCCGUGGACCGGGAGCCUGUAUUCUGGAUGGCACACAAAGAGAAGAAAGGCGAAUACACUGACCACCUGCAUGCCUGUCUGCUUCCAGACUUUGGGUGCAAUGUGACCAGCCGUCUUACAUUCCUGUCUUCCCAGCUCUGUCGACUGCCCUCAAACUGUG